CAAACGAAACGCGAAUUGCGUCAACAAUUGGAGAGUAACAAUCUCAGUCGGUAAAUGGUACUCCCAGUCUUACCAGAUACUGCGAGUGCAACAGAAAAAGGCGUUGAACCUAUCCCCCACGAGAUGGCGCAGGCUUCCUGUUGGUAGAAUUCCGGUGCUUUUCCCCCUCUUGCGACGGCGCAGCUGGACAGUCGACGUUGCGGCUUUGUGGCGGUGCUGAACAAUAGUUGGACGAGCUUUUUCGAACGGAUUUGCACAAUCUGUUAUUGCGAGUGGGGGAACGGCGCAGAUGGUGGACGUCGGUCGUGAAACGGCGGAGUGCGUCGCGGUGGCCGGCGUACUGGCGCCCUGCGUUGCGAUGCUGCUCGCCGUGACGCGUGGCGCUGCGGCGCUCUACGCUCUCAUCAGGAGUCCAAACCACUCGAGGAGCUAAGAGCGCCGGAACGUCACCGCGACGAGAGUUCCCACUCCUUACACAAGUCGUAACGAGAUAUCGAUUACACGCCGAGACCGACAGGGAAGAUAUCGCGAUGCAUCCACGGACGCGCGACGCGGUAUCGCAAAAUCUGAUGACCUACGCUUAAUUCUAAUUGAUCGCUAAGUGAUGUGAAACUUGAUAGUCCGAUUGCUAUAAAUAACGUAUGGUAUGCUGAAUUCAAUUAGUCAGCUUGUUUGCGGACGCGAUUGCCAGCGAGGUGGUGUGGAUUGAUUCAAAAGUUGGCAAGAGGAGGAGGAGGAGGAGGCAAGAUUAUUUCUUGCGCCCCCGAAGGCCAUCCCAGUGGCCUCGACGCCCCGCCGCCGGGUCCGUAGCCAUUUUUCCCAGCGGAACGGCGCCGCCGUCGUUCUCAUCGCGUGCUGUAGCCGGCGACCAUGAAUCCCGAGGAGCCAGCUUGUUGUUAUUUUGCCGCGCAGGACCGCCCGCUCAGCCGCCAUACAACCAGGAGAUCAGGAAGCCGAGGAGCUGCUGCGAGACGCCGGAGACCCCGACGAGGCUUAUACCGUCCUGAUCGGUUGUGAUUAAGGUGCUCGUCCCGACGGCUGAUUGGCCUCGCUAAGAUGCGCGCCUUGCCUAAAUUAUCGCCCGCCAGCCGACCCGGAAUUCCUGCCCUCCUGUCCUCCCGAUCGGCACAGGACGCGGAGGCCACGAAUCUAGGAGGUUAUCGCAUCCCGCCUCAUGGAAUCCUGAUUGCGAGAUUUACAACGUGUUAGACGCAGUCUGGACUCCGAACACAUACACGCGCAGUGUCCGAGUACCAGUCAGCCAGCCAGUCACGAUGGCUGGUUCGAGGGCGACGCAGAGGCGGACCAAGUCGCCAGCACGUAGUGCAGGUAUGCGGGUGAGAAACACCCGAGGCUACCCCGAGUCCGCCCACGUUUAAGCCGCGCUCCGUCGCAACCCGGCACUUCCAACCAGGUAACGUCCAGGUUGAUCCUCGUCCGCAUAGCUCCACCUGCCCCGCUGAACUUUCGACGCACGCGAUCUUCUCCGCUCGAGUCGACGAAGCCGCCCCCGCGGGCACACGCCGGCGUCACGCAAGCCUCGCUCCUCGUCGUAUUUCCCCCGGGCACGCAGUCACCGCACGAGAAGAGUCGAAUAGCUACAUUACGGACGGUCUGGCUCCUUUGAAUUUUCAACCAUUCUUGAUAAUUGACCCUUUAUAGAACGAAUUAGGAACAAGUUGUAUGGUGAUUUUCAAUCUCCUUGCCCGUUUCUUAUCCUUGUGGUAAGCAGUAGCAGCAGCAGCAGCAGCAGCAGCAACUGGCAAAGACAGAAUUAUCAUCGUAAAAUCGCACAGCGGCUCACGCAUGCCGUACGGGAGAGUGUAAUGAUUAUUAUUCAUGCUACAUUAUAGAGAGACAGUGAUUGAAGAUAUUUCGAAAUUCGUUUACCAUAAAAUAUGCGGUUAAAUUUGUUUGCCUACAGUGUUGGAGAUGUAAACACGGCAUUCCACCGCAUGACUGAGAAUAAAACUAGUGGUUCUGAAAUAAAACCACCGAAAAUGUGCACAAGAAAAUAUUUGCUUACCGAACGGGUAGUGUGGAUACUAGAAAUAGAAAAGUCCUAGUAUCAACAGCUCUGGUAGUAGACGCUCAAUUCACAGAUUUGAGUGUCACAAUAAAACCAUUGUUGUCAAUCUCCAUCUCGCCCAGUGUCAUUCUAAUACCCGCGACCAUGGAAUGCCAAAGAGUAACAAAAAGGUGUUGGGGAAGUUCCGGUUGAACGUAGUACAGGAUGUCUUUUUCGAAUCUCCAGACUUCGUAUUGACCCUCUGGUCUACACCUGGGUCAUUAAUGAUCCGACGACACUUUAAAAGUUACGAUCCUGCAAAGGAAAUAUUUCGCGCCUUGCUGUCUUCUUUAAAUAAAUAUUUGCUGAACGUAAAUAUAGCAUUUGUGUUUCCAUAUUCUUACU